GCUACGGGAGGCAGCAGUGAGGAAUAUUGGUCAAUGGACGAGAGUCUGAACCAGCCAAGUAGCGUGAAGGAUGACUGCCCUAUGGGUUGUAAACUUCUUUUAUAAAGGAAUAAAACGAGGCACGUGUGCCUUUUUGCAUGUACUUUAUGAAUAAGGAUCGGCUAACUCCGUGCCAGCAGCCGCGGUAAUACGGAGGAUCCGAGCGUUAUCCGGAUUUAUUGGGUUUAAAGGGAGCGUAGAUGGGUUGUUAAGUCAGUUGUGAAAGUUUGCGGCUCAACCGUAAAAUUGCAAUUGAUACUGACAGUCUUGAGUACAGUUGAGGUAGGCGGAAUUCGUGGUGUAGCGGUGAAAUGCUUAGAUAUCACGAAGAACCCCGAUUGCGAAGGCAGCUUACGAAACUGUGACUGACAUUGAUGCUCGAAAGUGUGGGUAUCAAACAGGAUUAGAUACCCUUGUAGUC
rnacentral:rRNA from 1 species